rnacentral:rRNA from 1 species
AGCGAAUAGAUACCCGGGUAGUCCAUGCUGUAAACGAUGAGAACUAGAUGUUAGGGGGCAUGACCUCUUAGUAAUCGAAAGCUAACGCGAUAAGUUCUCCGCCUGGGGAGUACGGCCGCAAGGUUAAAACUCAAAGAAAUUGACGGGGGCCCGGCACAAGCGGUGGAGCAUGUGGUUUAAUUCGAUGCAACGCGAAGAACCUUACCUACCUUUGAAUCCACGGAACCUAGCAGAGAUGUUGGGGUGCCUUCGGGAGCCAUGAGACAGGUGCUGCAUGGCUGUCGUCAGCUCGUGUCGUGAGAUGUUGGGUUAAGUCCCGUAACGAGCGCAACCCUUGUCCUUAGUUGCCAUCAGGUUAUGCUGGGCACUUUAAGGAGACUGCCGGUGAUAAACCGGAGGAAGGUGGGGAUGACGUCAAGUCCUCAUGGCCCUUACAGGUAGGCUACACGCGUGCUACAAUGGGCAGUACAGAGGGAAGCCAACCGCGAGGGGAGCGAAUCUCAUAAAGCUGUUCGUAGUCCGGAUUGGAGUCUGCAAC